rnacentral:tRNA from 1 species
GCGUCUACCAGCGGGUCGAGAGUACCGGAAACGGACUCUUAAUCCGCAGGUUCUGGGUUCGAAACCCAGGGGGCGCA